rnacentral:lncRNA from 1 species
AGCAAAGAUAAAGAAGUGGAGGCAUCAACAGAUAAAGAAGUGGAGUUGGUCCAAACACUGCUAGAAGAGGGAACACUUCAGUACAGCUCUAGGUAUGAUACAGCGCUGCAGAUACUGGUGUGGCAGUUCUUUGACAGACUGGAGGAGAUGCUGCCAGUGCUCAACUUUACACAGUACUGAUGCCACUCACAGGAGGCAUGCUUAUGUAACCGGUGUGAAGGGGGUGACUGUUGUCGACGUGUGCAGGGGGUCCCUGGUUCAGGCCCUGGUUGGAGCGAGGAGAGGUCCCUGGUUCAGGCCCUGGUUGGAGCGAGGAGAGGUCCCUGGUUCAGGCCCUGGUUGGGGCGAGAAGAGGGCCCUGGUUGGAGUGGGCCCUGGUUUGGGCGAGGAGAGGUCCCUGGUUCAGGAGCUGGUUGGGGCGAGGUGCGGGCCCUGGUUGGGGCGAGGAGCGGGCCCUGGUUGGGGCGAGGAGCGUGCCCUGGUUGGGGCGAGGAGCUGGACCUGGUUGGGGCGAGUAGCAGGCCCUGCUUGGGGUGAGGGGAAGGCCCUGGUUCUGGCCCUGGUUUGGACGAGUAGAGGUCCCUGGUUUGGGAGAGGAGAGGUCUCUGGUUGGGGUGAGGAGAGUUCCCUGGUUCGGGCCCUGGUUGGGGCGAGGACAGGGCCCUGGUUGGGGAGAGGAGCGGGCCCUGGUUGGGACGAGGACAGGGCCGUGGUGCGGGCCCUGGUUCUGGCCCUGGUUGGGGCGAUGGGAGGGCCCUGGUUGGGAAAGGGCCCUGGUGCGGGCCCUUGUUGGGGCGAGGGGAGGGCCCUGGUGUGGGACCAGGUUGGGGUGAGUGGAGAGAUAGAAGCUGUUCUACUUAUUAUUCUCUCCCUCUCAGACAGCAUCUAUUCUCAACCUGACCCCUACUGA